AGAGAUGUGAUCUGAUCACUUCCCAAGGCACUGAACUCCUCAAGCCAACCAGGGCAGGCUGAUGCUUGUUCCUGUGUUUUGGGUGGUGGCAAAACUGGGUGGAGGAAGAUCAGGCAGAAUAUAUAAUGACAUGCUGAUUCUCUCACUGGCAAAUCCUUCCAUAGGGGAGAAGAAGGAAACUUGAAAUGAUGAAAUCAAAUAGCUGCAAGCAAAACACCCUUACUUCUGCAGAGGCUGUACUGCUUUUCUAAGCUACUACUUUUAAUUAAAGCUUGACAAUCAAAGAGAAUUUUGUGCCAUGAACACAAACUCGGAGGAGAAGAGGACUUGCUUGAGUAAGGCGCAAGUGUUUUUCUAACUUGCAGUGGUUUCCUCCAGAUCCAUGCCUUUGGAAGAAGUGACUCCAGCUACUGCUCUACAGAGUGAAACCAUUCCACCGGAGAGAGGGGACUGGUGAGACCUGCUGACACACACCAGCUUUUCAGCAUACAGAAGCAAAAGAUACUUGGGAGAACAUCAGCCUUGCAACACAAUGUGAAGAGCCUCAUGAAAAGCAGAGAGCCAGCAAAGAGAGGUAAAUAGUCCCAUUAAGCAACAAGCAUGCUGAGUGGCAUGGCCCUGCUGCACAAGCCCUGCCUGUGAGCGCUGGUACAGUAAAAUCAGGCAAUUUGCUGAAAGGCAAAGCAGAAUUCGGUUAAGGAACCUCAGUGACACUCAGAGAAUUGUAACUUUCAUUUUUAAAACUGCCUGAUAGUAGCCCAGCCAGCAAUAAUCAGUAAAUACUUGAAGUCUGCUGCCAUAAUUCAUUGCAAAUCAACCAGAGCUCAAAAAAUAUAUUCAUCCUGGGACUCAUUUCCACGCAAUAGCGCACUAAGACGUAACGAUGUACAGCAUUAAUGCUGGCCUAACUGGAUGGGGGUGUAUUUAGGAACAUCUUUUUCUCUACAAAAUCUAUAUUCACAAACAUCAACAGACUGUGGCUUUUUACCAAGAGAAGCUUGUUCUUUCUGGACAAAGAAAGCUUUCUUCAAAAAAGAAAGAUCAAAACACUCUCAAGAAAGUUAAAUACUUCAUUAAUAGCCAAAAGAAAAGGUAGUAGCAAGUUACAAGAUAUCAGAGUCUUUCUGAUGCUGGAAUGCCAAGAUGUGGAAGUGGCAGACAGACCUGAUAUCAGGGCACAGCACACUGGCCAGGGAGGUUCAGUCUCAUGGUAGCCUUAUAGAGUUUUUACAGGAUGUACCCCUAGUGUCACCACUGGUGCCAAGUAGGUGUCAUCUCAGGGUUCUUCCAUUGUGAUUAGCCACCUGAGGACAUACCAUGGCAAGGGAUACAGACAGCACAGCAUGGUCCUGAAGGCCAAGUGUCCUGGUUUUCUUGGGACAGAAUCCCAGACAAUGGCUGCAGGCCAUUAGCAGCUCUGAGUCAGCCAGGACAGCUGACUGGAAUUCUCUCCAGAUGUAUCCCAGACCACGAGCAUCCCAUUCAGUAUAAAAGGAGCAGUUCGUGAGAAGAGAGGUGCCUUGUUAGAGCCUCCUGUUCGGGUUCCUCCUGAUCCUGCUCCUCUUCCUUCUACUCUUGAGGACUGCCUUUCUGGAUAUUGUAACUUCUGCUCUUUUGCUGGGCUGAACAUAACUCUGUAUACCUUGUGUUGCCAUUGGUAUUGACUUGGCUGUUUCAUUAAA